rnacentral:rRNA from 1 species
CAUGCAGUCGAGCGGAACGAGUUAUCUGAACCUUCGGGGRACGAUAACGGCGUCGAGCGGCGGACGGGUGAGUAAUGCCUAGGAAAUUGCCCUGAUGUGGGGGAUAACCAUUGGAAACGAUGGCUAAUACCGCAUGAUGCCUACGGGCCAAAGAGGGGGACCUUCGGGCCUCUCGCGUCAGGAUAUGCCUAGGUGGGAUUAGCUAGUUGGUGAGGUAAGGGCUCACCAAGGCGACGAUCCCUAGCUGGUCUGAGAGGAUGAUCAGCCACACUGGAACUGAGACACGGUCCAGACUCCUACGGGAGGCAGCAGUGGGGAAUAUUGCACAAUGGGCGCAAGCCUGAUGCAGCCAUGCCGCGUGUGUGAAGAAGGCCUUCGGGUUGUAAAGCACUUUCAGUCGUGAGGAAGGUAGUGUAGUUAAUAGCUGCAUUAUUUGACGUUAGCGACAGAAGAAGCACCGGCUAACUCCGUGCCAGCAGCCGCGGUAAUACGGAGGGUGCGAGCGUUAAUCGGAAUUACUGGGCGUAAAGCGCAUGCAGGUGGUUUGUUAAGUCAGAUGUGAAAGCCCGGGGCUCAACCUCGGAAUAGCAUUUGAAACUGGCAGACUAGAGUACUGUAGAGGGGGGUAGAAUUUCAGGUGUAGCGGUGAAAUGCGUAGAGAUCUGAAGGAAUACCGGUGGCGAAGGCGGCCCCCUGGACAGAUACUGACACUCAGAUGCGAAAGCGUGGGAGCAAACAGGAUUAGAUACCCUGGUAGUCCACGCCGUAAACGAUGUCUACUUGGAGGUUGUGGCCUUGAGCCGUGGCUUUCGGAGCUAACGCGUUAAGUAGACCGCCUGGGGAGUACGGUCGCAAGAUUAAAACUCAAAUGAAUUGACGGGGGCCCGCACAAGCGGUGGAGCAUGUGGUUUAAUUCGAUGCAACGCGAAGAACCUUACCUACUCUUGACAUCCAGAGAACUUUCCAGAGAUGGAUUGGUGCCUUCGGGAACUCUGAGACAGGUGCUGCAUGGCUGUCGUCAGCUCGUGUUGUGAAAUGUUGGGUUAAGUCCCGCAACGAGCGCAACCCUUAUCCUUGUUUGCCAGCGAGUAAUGUCGGGAACUCCAGGGAGACUGCCGGUGAUAAACCGGAGGAAGG